rnacentral:rRNA from 1 species
AAUCUUGCGCAAUGGGCGAAAGCCUGCCGCAGCCAUGACGCGUGAAUGAUGAAGGUCUUAGGAGUGUAAAAUUCCUUCACCGGGGACGAUAAUGACGGUACCCGGAGAAGAAGCCCGGGCUAACUUCGUGCCAGCAGCCGCGGUAAUCCGAAGGGGGCCAGCGUUGCUCGGAAUUACUGGGCGUAAAGGGGGCGUAGGCGGACAUUUAAGUCAGGGGUGAAAUCCCAGAGCUCAACUCUGGAACUGCCUUUGAUACUGGGUGUCUGGAGUGUGAGAGAGGUAUGUGGAACUCCGAGUGUAGAGGUGAAAUUCGUAGAUAUUCGGAAGAACACCAGUGGCGAAGGCGACAUACUGGCUCAUUACUGACGCUGAGGCGCGAAAGCGUGGGGAGCAAACAG